rnacentral:rRNA from 1 species
GAUGAACGCUGGCGGCGUGCCUAAUACAUGCAAGUCGAGCGAACUGAUUAGAAGCUUGCUUCUAUGACGUUAGCGGCGGACGGGUGAGUAACACGUGGGCAACCUGCCUGUAAGACUGGGAUAACUUCGGGAAACCGAAGCUAAUACCGGAUAGGAUCUUCUCCUUCAUGGGAGAUGAUUGAAAGAUGGUUUCGGCUAUCACUUACAGAUGGGCCCGCGGUGCAUUAGCUAGUUGGUGAGGUAACGGCUCACCAAGGCAACGAUGCAUAGCCGACCUGAGAGGGUGACCGGCCACACUGGGACUGAGACACGGCCCAGACUCCUACGGGAGGCAGCAGUAGGGAAUCUUCCGCAAUGGACGAAAGUCUGACGGAGCAACGCCGCGUGAGUGAUGAAGGCUUUCGGGUCGUAAAACUCUGUUGUUAGGGAAGAACAAGUACGAGAGUAACUGCUCGUACCUUGACGGUACCUAACCAGAAAGCCACGGCUAACUACGUGCCAGCCGCCGCAGUAA